UACUGAUGACUUAGGUUUCUUCCAAUCCAUCCAUCUGUUCGUCGGUUCGCGUCGCCGCUACCGUCUUCCCCUUUCCUCGACCGGGCCUUAUGCUCCGAUUCCGAAUUCAUAUGGCCCGGCGGGUCAGCGACGGCGGCGGCAGGAGCGAAAAUUUUCUCCAAUGCCGCGGCACGAUACGGCGCGCGCCGCGCCGCGCUGCUUCGCGGUGGCUCGGGGCUCGCGCUAAGGCGUGCGGCAUUGUCGCCGCAGCGCGCUGUGGGGUCGUGGCUUCCGCCGCUACCAGGCCGCUCCUUGGGCGAUGCUACGGAGCAGGAGAGUCCUAUUCGUGCCAGUGGAAUGACACAGGUCUUCAUGACCUCUGCGGCAUCAAUUUCGUCUUGUAGCAUCGUGGGAUCAACAAUCUCAUGGAUCUUCUCUGGAAACGCUCUUUCUACAAAGCCAUGCAGGUAUAAAUACCCCUGCAUAUCGUACGGUGUAGAGACAGCAUCAGUCAUCAUCACCCUUGAGCUUGUUCAUCAGCUGGUGCCCUACCUGAAGCAAGAUGGUACCUGACAAAAGCUUUGCCGCCGGUGCCGUCCCACCUUCACCGCCGGCCACCUCGGACGGUGAUCGUCCGGCUACUCCCCCAGAAGAUACAACAAGUGGUACAGGUCAUGAAAACUGCUUUCAGUGGCUUUGGGAUCUCAUCAAGAACUGUAUUACUGGCGGUCCUCAACAUGAUCGUCCUGCAUUUCGCCCAAUCGAUGAUCCUCCAAAGCCGCCGGGGACAGGGCGUGCUGCUUCUGAGAGAUAGACUGUUUUUGAGCUCCGGGACUUGGAAUGUGUGUUCAGAGUUAUUACAUGAAGAGGAGAAAUUAAGAGAUUCAAAAGAGCCACGUAUGCGUAUACGCAUGCAUGUCUUUUCCCCCCUUUGUUUACUCUAUAAGUCUAUAGUGUUAGUUCAUUUAGGUACAUGGCUCGAUCUGCAGCUCGAUCAUUUUCUGAGUGGACAAGUUUCUGGUGGCCACAUACUGGUUGGUAUGGCAUCGGCUGGUUGUCCUUUUUGUGUACAUGUGUGUGAAAUUGCACUACUAAAAAACUGCAUGUAACUAUUCCUUCUUUACUUUAAUAGAUCCCUUCUGAAUUUGCAUAACAA